rnacentral:rRNA from 1 species
CUACGGGACGCUGCAGUGGGGAAUAUUGCACAAUGGGCGCAAGCCUGAUGCAGCCAUGCCGCGUGUAUGAAGAAGGCCUUCGGGUUGUAAAGUACUUUCAGCGGGGAGGAAGGGAGUAAAGUUAAUGCCUUUGCUCAUUGACGUUACCCGCAGAAGAAGCACCGGCUAACUCCGUGCCAGCAGCCGCGGUAAUACGGAGGGUGCAAGCGUUAAUCGGAAUUACUGGGCGUAAAGCGCACGCAGGCGGUUUGUUAAGUCAGAUGUGAAAUCCCCGGGCUCAACCUGGGAACUGCAUCUGAUACUGGCAAGCUUGAGUCUCGUAGAGGGGGGUAGAAUUCCAGGUGUAGCGGUGAAAUGCGUAGAGAUCUGGAGGAAUACCGGUGGCGAAGGCGGCCCCCUGGACGAAGACUGACGCUCAGGUGCGAAAGCGUGGGGAGCAAACAGGAUUAGAUACCCCAGUAGUC